rnacentral:tRNA from 1 species
ACAAGAUGUAGCUUAAAAAAAGCAUCUGACUUACACUCAGAAGAUCUCACAAAAUAAAUGAUCAUCUUGA